rnacentral:rRNA from 1 species
CUCCAAGGCUAAAUACUCCUGACUGACCGAUAGUGAACCAGUACCGUGAGGGAAAGGCGAAAAGAACCCCGGCGAGGGGAGUGAAAAAGAACCUGAAACCGUGUACGUACAAGCAGUGGGAGCACGCUUAGGCGUGUGACUGCGUACCUUUUGUAUAAUGGGUCAGCGACUUAUAUUCUGUAGCAAGGUUAACCGAAUAGGGGAGCCGAAGGGAAACCGAGUCUUAACUGGGCGUUAAGUUGCAGGGUAUAGACCCGAAACCCGGUGAUCUAGCCAUGGGCAGGUUGAAGGUUGGGUAACACUAACUGGAGGACCGAACCGACUAAUGUUGAAAAAUUAGCGGAUGACUUGUGGCUGGGGGUGAAAGGCCAAUCAAACCGGGAGAUAGCUGGUUCUCCCCGAAAGCUAUUUAGGUAGCGCCUCGUGAAUUCAUCUCCGGGGGUAGAGCACUGUUUCGGCAAGGGGGUCAUCCCGACUUACCAACCCGAUGCAAACUGCGAAUACCGGAGAAUGUUAUCACGGGAGACACACGGCGGGUGCUAACGUCCGUCGUGAAGAGGGAAACAACCCAGACCGCCAGCUAAGGUCCCAAAGUCAUGGUUAAGUGGGAAACGAUGUGGGAAGGCCCAGACAGCCAGGAUGUUGGCUUAGAAGCAGCCAUCAUUUAAAGAAAGCGUAAUAGCUCACUGGUCGAGUCGGCCUGCGCGGAAGAUGUAACGGGGCUAAACCAUGCACCGAAGCUGCGGCAGCGACGCUUAUGCGUUGUUGGGUAGGGGAGCGUUCUGUAAGCCUGUGAAGGUGUGCUGUGAGGUAUGCUGGAGGUAUCAGAAGUGCGAAUGCUGACAUAAGUAACGAUAAAGCGGGUGAAAAGCCCGCUCGCCGGAAGACCAAGGGUUCCUGUCCAACGUUAAUCGGGGCAGGGUGAGUCGACCCCUAAGGCGAGGCCGAAAGGCGUAGUCGAUGGGAAACAGGUUAAUAUUCCUGUACUUGGUGUUACUGCGAAGGGGGGACGGAGAAGGCUAUGUUGGCCGGGCGACGGUUGUCCCGGUUUAAGCGUGUAGGCUGGUUUUCCAGGCAAAUCCGGAAAAUCAAGGCCGAGGCGUGAUGACGAGGCACUACGGUGCUGAAGCAACAAAUGCCCUGCUUCCAGGAAAAGCCUCUAAGCAUCAGGUAACAUCAAAUCGUACCCCAAACCGACACAGGUGGUCAGGUAGAGAAUACCAAGGCGCUUGAGAGAACUCGGGUGAAGGAACUAGGCAAAAUGGUGCCGUAACUUCGGGAGAAGGCACGCUGAUACGUAGGUGAAGCGACUUGCUCGUGGAGCUGAAAUCAGUCGAAGAUACCAGCUGGCUGCAACUGUUUAUUAAAAACACAGCACUGUGCAAACACGAAAGUGGACGUAUACGGUGUGACGCCUGCCCGGUGCCGGAAGGUUAAUUGAUGGGGUUAGCGCAAGCGAAGCUCUUGAUCGAAGCCCCGGUAAACGGCGGCCGUAACUAUAACGGUCCUAAGGUAGCGAAAUUCCUUGUCGGGUAAGUUCCGACCUGCACGAAUGGCGUAAUGAUGGCCAGGCUGUCUCCACCCGAGACUCAGUGAAAUUGAACUCGCUGUGAAGAUGCAGUGUACCCGCGGCAAGACGGAAAGACCCCGUGAACCUUUACUAUAGCUUGACACUGAACAUUGAGCCUUGAUGUGUAGGAUAGGUGGGAGGCUUUGAAGUGUGGACGCCAGUCUGCAUGGAGCCGACCUUGAAAUACCACCCUUUAAUGUUUGAUGUUCUAACGUGGACCCGUGAUCCGGGUUGCGGACAGUGUCUGGUGGGUAGUUUGACUGGGGCGGUCUCCUCCUAAAGAGUAACGGAGGAGCACGAAGGUUGGCUAAUCCUGGUCGGACAUCAGGAGGUUAGUGCAAUGGCAUAAGCCAGCUUGACUGCGAGCGUGACGGCGCGAGCAGGUGCGAAAGCAGGUCAUAGUGAUCCGGUGGUUCUGAAUGGAAGGGCCAUCGCUCAACGGAUAAAAGGUACUCCGGGGAUAACAGGCUGAUACCGCCCAAGAGUUCAUAUCGACGGCGGUGUUUGGCACCUCGAUGUCGGCUCAUCACAUCCUGGGGCUGAAGUAGGUCCCAAGGGUAUGGCUGUUCGCCAUUUAAAGUGGUACGCGAGCUGGGUUUAGAACGUCGUGAGACAGUUCGGUCCCUAUCUGCCGUGGGCGCUGGAGAACUGAGGGGGGCUGCUCCUAGUACGAGAGGACCGGAGUGGACGCAUCACUGGUGUUCGGGUUGUCAUGCCAAUGGCACUGCCCGGUAGCUAAAUGCGGAAGAGAUAAGUGCUGAAAGCAUCUAAGCACGAAACUUGCCCCGAGAUGAGUUCUCCCUGACCCUUUAAGGGUCCUGAAGGAACGUUGAAGACGACGACGUUGAUAGGCCGGGUGUGUAAGCGCAGCGAUGCGUUGAGCUAACCGGUACUAAUGAACCGUGAGGCUUAACCUUACAACGCCGAAG